GCCGCCACGUGGUCCAAGAAGCUCGAUGGCAUCGCCAUGGGUAUCGAAGGAGCUGUGGACAUGGAUUAGCUUUUAAGGGGAUGAAGGAAAUGAAUAGUGUUGUGAGAGUGACCCUAACAAUUAGAGCACGAGGACAUAAUCAAUCAUGUUAGGAUACAGACACAUCCACUUGUUGGAUCUUUGAGCCAUGAGUAAGUCCUCGGAUAAGUCUAAGCUCUCAAGUCUUC
rnacentral:lncRNA from 1 species